AGUGGGAUAACUGGGUUAAAUGGUGGUUCCAUUCCUAGUUUUCUGAGUAACCACCAUACUGCUUUCCAAGGUGGUUGCACCAACUUGCAAUCCUACCAGCAAU
rnacentral:pre_miRNA from 1 species